ensembl:lncRNA
CCGUGACAGUCACGUAUUUAACUGCGUGAGAGCUGGAGAAGCAGAAAGUAUCUUACUUUACAACUGCUACUCCGGCGGCCUUCUAUUGUAAUGUAAACAAUCAGGGUAACUGUGUGCAUUUCAAUUUUAACAAUGCUUUAUUGUAACAGGCCUAAGUAUUUAUAUUGCCAAGUUGCUUGGGGCUUGGACUCCAUCCUGCCGUAGGAUAGACGAGGGGCCGGGAUGCCGAGAUGGCAUACCCCCCCUUUUGGAGUCCAGACACUGGUGGUGGUGGUAGAGCCUAAAUUGCGCCAGGUUUUUCUGUAGAUUGGAGGUGUCAGGGGUGGUGGCGGGUCACUUUUGGUGUGUGCUGAAAUGACAACUGACAGCAAAAGAGAGAAGAACAGUUUUUAACGUUUGCCUGCCCCGAUGCAAUUGGUUUAAGGUAACGACACCCACGUCUGGUUGAUUAGGGGCGGGGUCAGGUAGUACCAGCCAGCUGGCCGCACGGCCCCAGGGAGAGGAGGCCAUCAGGGAAUGGCACAGCCUGUCCAGUCUUCCUGACUGAAUUUUCGCCUAAACUUCAUUUCAAUCCGGAGAGAUUUGUUGAAAUUUUAACAAUGCUUAGACCAUGCUAGGCCUUUCCGCAUGUAAUACCUGGCUGCCUCCAUGUAGUGCUCUAUCUGACCUUGUCCUAUGAGAGCAUCAAGGUGUGACACUGAGGGACUGUAAUGGGUGCUUUGUGGGUCUCGGGGCAGAGCCUCUGGAAAGUCUGAAAAUCAAAACGGGAAAGCAAGUCAGACAGUUUGUUAUGCUGUCCGGGCACGUGCCGGGCAGUGAUGAUGAAGUUGUUGGUGACAGCGGACCAUGUGAUGCCUCUCAUGAAUGGCAUGAUGUCUCGGGCCGAGGAGCGGCCUUUGUUGACAAUGUCCACCACUGCCUGGUUGUCGCACGUGAUGGAGAUGCGCUUGCGUGUCCAGUGUCGUCCCCAGAUGAAACAGGCCACCGCCACUGGGUAGAUCUCAAACAGCGCUAUCGAUGUUUCAAAACUGCAAAAAGCGGUUGGCCAGUGGCUGGCGAACCCCCUGCGGGGAAUCUAUCACCAGGAAGUCAUCCAGCAGGAAGUCAUCCAGCAGGUGAAGUACUGACGGGACUUUGGCCCUAUUCAGCAGGAUCCAAGGGAGCGCUUCAGACACUUUGUUAAAUAUGCAUGGAGUGCUCCUGCACCCAAAAGUUAACCGCACUGCAAAGUAGAACGCCUCCCACCGGAUCCAGGAGAGAUGCCAUUGAGUCAGGUGUGUGGGUACUAUUUUAAAUGCAUCUUUUACAUCCACUUUUGAGAGCCAUGCACCUUGACCGGCCAUUUUAAAUCAAGUUUAUGGCACUGUCGGUUGAAGCCUAACGGAGGGGAAAUAGUUCUGGGGGAAUAAGGCUUUUGAUGCUCGGAAUAGCGCUAGAAUGUUGCUCAUAGAUCGAAAAUUAAUCUUUUCUUACCAGAGUAUUUGUCCGUAGCAAUGCCUACUGGACUAGUAUGAAAUACAGAAUAUGGUGCUGCCUUGAAGGGGCCCACGAUGUACUUCCUCCUUACCUCUUCUUUGAUUAAGUUGGUGACAGUCCCUGGCUCUUCCAUUGCGGAUUGCAGGUUCUUUGCUAUGUACGUUCUGGUGGGCUCGCGACGACGCCUACGUGAAACCCCUGUGAGCAAGUGAUUCACGAACCCCCGGUCGGGUCGCAAAGAUAGCUCUGUUGCCAGUGCCGCAAUGUUUAUUGGUGUUGGGGGAUGUAUUCUCAAUGUUUUUGAACCACGUGGUCCCCCUCGUAGACCUUGGAUGCGCCUCCUUGCAUAGGCUGCAGAUAGCGGCAAUUUUUGUAUGUACAGACACUCAAUAAAACUGAGGCAUACAGGAGAGUAAUCUAUAUUUGGGACCUCGUGCCCUCGGCUCACCUGUUGCCGCAGCGGUGGUUGUGCGCCGUGCCCAUGGGAUGUUGACUGAAAUGCCGCCACCGGGCAUAGUGGCGUGACCCGUACGGCCGCACAAACUGCAUGCCAGUGGUUGCAUCCCCACGGCGACCAUCAGCAGUAGCUCCAUUACGGACCAAGCUAGCCGGUUAUUGUAUUGCCUUAUGAACAAUGCUGCUUUCCUAGCAAAUGCUUUGGGGUACGGAUAAAACACAUACCCCCCGUAAUUGACGCUGACAUCACCGAUUAGUGCCAUGUAGGCGUCUAACUCCUGCCUUCUGUCUGGAAAUACGGCGCAAACAACGUCCCGGUAUACUCCAAACGCAACAAAGAAUUGCCCGAUCGAUAACUCUGUUCAGUCGUGGGUCUGCUACGCUAACGUAGCGCACUCUGGGGAUGGAAGGAUGAUGGAAACGAGAUUGAUAUCUUUGCCCGCAGGCGUGUUGACACAUUCGAAGCCUGAGAAAUGUAUGUCCUACCCUGUGGACGAUCAGGUACCGCCGAUGCCAGUAAAUGCUGCGCCGCUUCCCCUUGUGCAGAUGUAGCAGGUUGAACCACCAUGCCGGCUAUGGGCCCCCUGGAAUCCUGGAUGUCUGCGCUGAAUGAGGUGGAUGGAAUGGGCUGCCUGUCCCCUAGGUGCUGCAGGCGCGCCUCGAUGGUGCCCAUCGUGUUAACCAAUGUUUGUAAAGUUGCGAUUACCGUGGCGUCUGGACCCGACGUGCCUGCCAUCGCUGGUGGAGAAUUGCACUGGGUUCUAGUUUUUCUCCGCCUCGCCUGCGGUGCCAGUUUUGGUCCCAACUUCCGGGUUCGCUUCCGCCCUGGCGCGGGAGGCAGGGAUCUCUGCGCUCUCCACCUGCUGUGAGUCUUACCAAGUCCUGCAGCUGGGAGAGAGGGAGCCCCGGUGCUGGAGCCACGCCGCGAUUCUGCAGUUGAGUAAGAAUAAUUUCUCGCUUGUUCGUUGUGGAGCCGCUGCGCCUUGUGAAACGAGCGCUCCUGCGCCGGCCGCUCGGUGGGUUGCUGGCAGCAGCCUCUCCAGUUCUCAUGGUUGUUGAGACUCGCGUCUCCGGAAUAGAUCGCUAUCCGAAUCUGACAUUCAUUUUGCCGUCACGAUCACUGCUAAUCCAGACAAAAUAUCCCUAUUUCGCCUUGGUGUGUGCUGAAAUGACAACUGACAGCAAAAGAGAGGAGAACAGUUUUUAACGUUUGCCUGACCCGAUGCAAUUGGUUUAAGGUAACGACACCCACGAUAACGACACCCACGUCUGGUUGAUUAGGGGCGGGGUCAGGUAGUACCAACCAGCUGGCCGCGCGCCCCCAGGAAGAGGAGGCCACCAGGUAACGGCACAGCCUGUCCAGUCUUCCUGACUGAAUUUUCGCCUAAGCUUCCUUUAACCAAGCAAUUACUAAUGAUUUUUAACCGACUAAUGCUCUUGCAGGAUUUCAUUCUGAUGUUUGGAGAGGAUGUAUCAGGCAAGCUUCCGGAGAGGUGGCAAACUACAAUCAAGAAAAACAUAAUCCAACGAUGCUGAAAGCUUCCAUCCAACAGUAGGCUUAAGGAACAUCUGCUGGCAGCUGAUCCGCCUGAGAAUCCCACUGAAGCCGAUCUUGACUUUUGUAAGCAGUUUGUUUUAUUGCACUCAAACUUAAAAUAUAUCAACAUGUGUAAACCAUUGCAUAUCAGCAUUGUUUAUGAAGCUGGGUUGAGAUUUAAAUCAAAACCUCAAAGGCACUGAAAUGUUUGGCUCAGUUUAACAUUGCAGAUCUGCUGGUGUUGCAGGUUUGGACAGUGACUUGUCUUGCAGAUGCACCUUAUUCCACCUUCUGCUCAAGGUUGUAAAAAAACAGGAAAGGUGUCUGCAUCCCAACCAAAGAAGCAUUUUGUGGCAUUCAAGAAGGUUGGUAUUUUUCCUUAAUUUAUGACAAGAAUUUCAAAUUCUAUAUAAAUUGUUAUAAUUACAACUAUAUAAUUGUCUCUCCAUGUGUGUUUGUCUUGUCAGACUGGAACAAACAUCCAAGAGCACCGUGAUGCCAUCACUACGAGUACUCCACCCUACCUCCUGAUAUUUCGAGCAAGGAAGAAUGUGAUCCACCAGUUCUUCACCCUUGACAAGAAUUCCAUACCCCACAGGUCAACCUCUUCUCUUGGUGCUUUUUGAUGAACUGUUCAAGGCACAUAAAACGCCAUGCUACACAACACGUACACGUUCAUCCAAACUGCUGUCUAAAAUAUUGAUGUUGGCAAAGUCAAAGAGUCCUUGUGUUGCCAAAGUUCAUGGUUACUGGAAAUAUAUUCGCCUUAAAUGUGCGCAGACUGGAUGUGAGUGUUUGGUACUUUUUUCAGGUUUUAGGAAACAUUUACACACCAAACAAACAGUAUAUUGACCAAGAAGUUCACACUGAUGUUAAUUUAAGCAUCGUAGGAGAGUUGAUGUAGCAUGUGAGAUGCCUGUUUUGUACGACUAAAGAUGACAAUGUAUUACUGUUUGGAAAAUUGCUGGAAAUUGUGUGUUUUGAUCAGUAUUGCCAUGCCUUUAAGGUCAGGCUGCAUCCUGACAAGAUUAUUAAGGUAUUGCACAUAAAUUGGCUAUUUACUUGAAACCAUUCAAUGUUCAAAUAGAGUGUAGGCCAUUCCCCCUUUUUAAGGAAUGUCGUCCCUUAUUGCCAUUUAAAGCCGAUCGAAGGUCAAAUGUUUUGCAUUGUUUCUCUGCACGAUAAAGAGCUGUGAGAUGCAUUAUUUGGUGUUUUUGUGAUUUUACUAAUUCAUGGCGUUUGAAAAAGCUGUAAUGAAUACAUUUGAUGUAAUUUGAUACUGAGGAAAUUAUUUGUAAUUAGUGUUAAUUUUCAGUGACACUAAGCAGUGUCAAUGGAUGGUUAGAAUUUCAGUGUGUCAGUGCUGUUUUCACAAUAAGAGUAAAUUGUCAACACUGUAGUGUAUAACAUGAGCACUUACCGGAGUAAUUUGUUGUAUUGUUAAUUUUGUAUAACUAUAUAGUGUUAAUGAUAAUUUCAAUUUAACUGAGUUGAUUUGUUGUCAUAGUUAUGAGUUAAUAUCACUCAUAGUGUUUAUAAUUUAACAAUUUCAAGAGUUAUUUAACCUGUAGUGUUAAAUUUCAUUAACACUAUACAGUGAGUGGUGUUACAUUUUUACUCUAGAGUUAAUUUAACUCUAAAAUUUCAACACUUGGGCAAUAGUUAAUGUUAAGGUUUCGGAAGCUCUCGAGGGAGGACUCAAUCCUUUGUUCUCGUCCCGGCCGGAAACGAGGACACGAAUGAGUCAAUUCGUUUAAAUUCAAAAAUCAAAAGUUAUUUAAUAACUGAACAACGUAAUAGGGAUUACAAUUACAAAGUGAAAUACUAAGCGAACAGUGGAAUAUUUCGCGAAAUAGAGAAUCCUCUGAGCAAGUCUGAAGUGACUUAUCAACGCGGCUGCAGGAAAAGUUCUAACAGUCUUUUCCCCGCCAUGGUCCUUUGAAACCUCUUGAGGUGUGUCUUCCUUGGUGCAUUUGAAUGUCAUUGGCCUCUUCUCCAAAGGGUCACCUCCUCCAUUGUCCCUUCCACGUCGAGGUGUGAAGCUGCAGCUGUAACCUGAAACCUCACUGUACUAGCUGUCCCUCACAUUCCAAUGCACUCAAUGUAGAUACAUUCGGCUUUAUGCCCCAAUGAGUGAAUUUAACAAAGCAUACAGCGUUUAAGUCUUCAUCUUAUAACUAGUACACUUUAAUUACAACAACCCAUCAUUAAUGAUCACCGUUCAUCACACUUCAUCAUAAGAUCUAAAACAGUUCAUGUGGUUCAAUUCUCAAGACAUUUGCCUCAGUCGGCUGCCUUGAAAUAAGUUGUUCAUUUAUUACCUGACAGGAGAAAAAACUCCCAAAAAACCCUUUUUGGGGAUAAAAUUGGGAGAAAUCCAUAAAGAACGGCAAUUGGCAUCCGUCCCCAGGUUUUAACAUCACAUUGUGACAGAACGUUAAUGUGUACAGUGUUUAUAUGAUUUAAAUGACUAUGAAUUGUGUUUGAUUGAAAUUGCAUUCACUUCAUCUAACAUGUUAACGUAAUAACUAAUAUCUAAUAACACACAAACUAUAAUUCUAACACUAAACAUUAUUACACGCACUACAAAUUCUAUGACUAGGGGUGCACUUCUGGCUUAAAUCCCUAACAUUAAUUUAACACCAAUUCCAAUUGGGACCAAAUUCACUCUGGAAAAUUUUGUUAAAUUCUACUUUUCGAGUGUCACUUUAACACUACAAAAUUGACUGUGUACAUGUUUUAAAGUACUUAUCUGCUUAUAUUAUUUCAUAUAUUAUAUAUUUUUUUUUAUCCCUCUGUGUAACAUACGUGGCAAUAAAUGAUUUCGGAUUCUGGUGUAGUCAGGUAGCUUAAUGGAUGAACUGAUGGAAAACAGGGCUAUUUACAUGCUGCAACAUGACUCAUUUUUAACAGAGAAGCGUGUCAUUAGUAACGGAAUAGGCUGCUAGUGAUGACACACAGUCAUCUCAGAAGAAGAGAGGAAGCAAGAGGUCUGCGUAGAUGGAUAGCUGUGAAAGAGAAAGACAUGGGAAAUGCCUAUAUGAGAAGCAAAAUAAGAGAGGAGGUGUAAAUAUGCAUCGCCAAGGGCAAUGUCAUUGCCUCUUUGUAUCAUUCAGCUCCAUCUCUUUCAGACAUUUUCCUUUUUAUACACAUCACAGCCAUGUGUGCAAUGCAUGCUCUAGACAGCCAUUGUCAGUCUCUGGUGCAUCAAAACCAACAUCAGCGCUCUCCAAAUUAAUUACUAGCUCUCUCCCUGGCCUGCCUCUGUAAUAAGUCUCCAAGGGAGCAGAAGUGAUGGACUAUACCGUGUCAUCAUCCUUUCUCCACAAAGGCUGACAGCUGUUUUCCCCUCAGCCGUGGUCUUUCCAUUCCCAAUACACCCCCCAUCACCACCGUGUGAUGUGUGGGGAGAGAGGAUGAACCUGUGAAACAUUCACUCUGUAUUGGUUUUGUGUUGAGGAGAAUUAAGUCAUGUUCCAAAAGAUGGUCCGUGCCACAGAAAUAGUCUGUGUAACUCGCUGGCAAAAUGUAGAUGUGAUUUGAUCAAAUGUUUGGUCAUAGUGAAGCAGAGUAUUAAAAUGAUGACAUGUUUGAAAUGGCCCCGGGUGGGAAACUUUGAUCAGUCGCCCUCCUGCUACCCAGUCAAUUAUGACAUGUCAACCUCAACAACACGCUAUUCCAUAAAUUGCAGUUGAGCUAGGUUACUUUUAACAAAUGGGUCUGAUAUUUAGUAAAUUUGGAAACUCGAAAAGCAAAUUAUGAAAUGAUGAGUUAAGACAUGCACAUAUGCAUAUUCCUUCAUAGUUCUUUAGAGUGACUUUCCAAACCCUCUUGGCGACUUUUUGUGUCAAAAGCGACCAGCGACCUUUUCUGGUCUGGAGGAAACGUGUAGAGCGAGAAAUUACGCUACGCUCUGAGGGUGAAGGGCAAAAGUGCCCCCCCCCCUCCCAUGAAAUCCGACCAUGAGAAGGAAGGGAAUGUUUUGAAAGGGACACACACAUUCGCUAAGCAUUCAGCAUUCAAAAACCUCUGGGAAUUAUGCAUUCUUUCUGACAGAAAUGUAACUUACAUCAGCCGAUUCAGGGUGGAAUUGCUGUGCUGUUUUUAGCCUUGGUUUUGUUGUAGCGCUCUAGCUUGGACCGAUGAGGCAAUAAGUGUACAGAGUAUGUUCGGUUUUGGCCGAAAUUCAUAGAUUGUGAUUAGACAAGGAGAGUCAUUGACCUCAUACAGUCUGAGAGGGCCAGAACUAAGAGAAUGGUGCAGAAAGGCUUUUACCAACAAAACCAGUUACAAACAAUGCUAAAUACCUGUCAGAGCUUCUGGAGCAACAGGGGCUGUCUGAACUUUCUGUCAUCAUGAUGCUGAUGGAGGUCACUGCAAAUGCAAACUUGACCCAUUUUACAAUUCUCUUAUCAGUAGCUCUAGUCUGAUUCGUCAAGUUGAACGUUUAUAGCAUCAAAUCAAAGUUUACCUUUUAUUCCCAGUUGGCAUUGCGUUCCCGUGAGAAUAGAUUCGGGAGAACGGUCAUUUCCGCAAUUGGAACAGCAGCUGACUUGAUGACAUGGUCUUGCUAAUGUAUUUUAAUAGUUUCAUUUCAUUUUCAUUUAAACUAAAGAAUUCUGUAUAUAAUGGAUUAGAUAUAUAUGGAGUAAAUAUAUUAUAUAUAAGACAUAAAAUAACUAGGCAAAAUAUCUCAAUGGAUCAGAUCAGAGUUCUUACACAGUCAAACUGUUAUGGGUCAGCUGCCGUUUUUCCCCAUCCGGGGCGUUUGUAUCUUUUCCCCUGUGUGUGUGUGUGUGUGUCUGUCUGUGCUUCUCGUCCCCACCUAACAAGAGGCGUGGUUUCCUCUUCAUAAGAGGUGUUGGAUACAGUAACAAUUAAACAGUUAAUAUUUUAUUGGCUAGGACUACAUUCCAAAAACACACAAACCGUUUGUCUUCCUGUUAAACAUCAAGAUGGCUAAUAAUCAGUGGGGUGGUCCUCGUCCAGGUUAAAUGCACAAACAUUACUAUGAAUUAAAUUGAAGAUGUACCUGAACCUCUUUUGUGUCAUUAGAUCAUUAGUGCUUAAUAGGGGUGUAACGAUUCAUUCACUGAAUCGAUUAAUAUUCCUGCGAUCCAACUGAAUCAAUCUGUGCUCUGCAAAUCGGCAUUCCGGACGACAUAUAUUGAUUACAAAUCGAUUUGAAAUGGUACAUAAUCGAUUGUAUCGAUACUUGGAAACUGCACAUCGGAUUUAAGUACAAAAACUGUAUGGAUGUGUGUUUGUUUGUUUUUUAGCACUUUAGACACGUUAAACGUUACUCGAUUCAGCUCGAGUCUGCCUGUCUGUGACGUCAGUAGUACGCAGCGGCAGCCGCGCGAAACUCGGAACAACAACAAAACACAGCGUGGAGGAGAUGACUGCGAGCAAGACAUUUACAAACCAACUUAUCGAUCCAGCGUGUGCAAACACGGAGGUGUUCUAAAUAAGUCGGUCGCUGUUUGUAGAAUAUGUAGAAGCCAAAUAAAAAAACACAGAAACACAACGAAUCUUUCCGGCCAUCUACUAAGGCGCCGUGGGAUUAAACAACGCCAACAGUCAGGCACCUCUAGCAGCGUCACCGCUGCAGCAGCAGGGAACUCCAGCUCUGCAGACACCUCAGGCCUCGCCAGCACGAAACUCAACAUCAGAGUAACAAUUUCCAAGGUUAUCUGUAAAGACAUGCAACCCUACAAUGUGGUUGAAAAUCUGGAGUUCUGUGAAUUGAUCCAAACAUUGUGUAAUGUUUACAUUGAAAAUGGCACUUGAUUCAAAUAAAAGGUUAAUACAUUUGCCAUCAAUUGUUGUUUGCUUGUUUAUAAUAUCCAUACUUAAUUAAAACCUGAUUUCCUUACAAGAAACAACAGGGAUCUCAGAAACUUUGCCUGCACUGUCCAGUAAAGUUACUGAAUUGAUUUCAAGUCACUGAAUCGAAUCAUUCGAAAUUAACCCAGAUCGUCCAUGAAUCGGAUCGGCAACCAUGAAUUGUGAUUCGAAUUGAAUCGUUGUUCAAAUUAAUCGUUACACCCAUAGUGCUUAACAUAGCAUUUAAUAUCAUGAAACAGUGAUCAUGGAGGCUACAAGGACAAACACAUUAAUUUGUACGUUCUUUCCCCUCUGCUCUUUUCCCUGUACACCAACAGCUGCACCUCCAUUCACCAGUCCGUCAAGCUCCUGAAGUUUGCAGAUGACACCACCCUCAUUGGACUGAGCUCUAGUGGGGAUGAGUCCGCCUACAGGUGGGAGUCUGACCAUCUGGUGUCGUGUUGCAGCCAGAACAACCUGGAGCUCAACGCUCUAAAGACAGUGGAGAUGGUUGUGGAUUUCCGGCGGAACAGAGCCCCACCCUCCCCCAUCACCCUGUGUGACUCCCCCGUCACUAUUGUGGAUUCCUUCCGUUUCCUGGGCUCCAUCAUCACCCAGGACCUCAAGUGGGAGCUGAACAUCAGCUCCAUCACAAAGAAGGCUCAGCAGAGGUUGUUCUUCCUGAGGCAGCUGAAGAAAUUCAACCUGCCAAAGACGAUGAUGAUCCACUUCUACACGGCCAUCAUCAAGUCCAUCCUCUGCUCCUCCAUCACCAUCUGGUACGCUGCAGCCACAGCCAAGGACAAGGGCAGGCUGCAGCGUGUCAUCCGCUCUGCAGAGAGGGUGAUUGGCUGCAAUCUGCCGUCUCUGCAGGACUUGUUCGCUUCCAGGUCUCUGAAGCGAGCUGAAAAGAUCGUAGCCGACCCCUCUCACCCCGGACAAAAACUGUUUGUGCCCCUCCCGCCACACAAACAGUUUCUUCCCGUCGGCAGUCGGGCUCAUCAACAGAGCCUGGUCCCCCACUGACUGACUAUAACAUUCCACCGGUCACUCCCCUUAACUGUAAUUUAUCACUUUGUCGUCACUCGUCACUUGUUCGCUAGUGCACUUUAUGCUUAAUAUUUUUUUAACUCUUAAUAUUUUACAUUUUUAACUUUAACUUUAUUCCCUUGUUUUAUACUAACCCAUUCUACUAGCAUUUCAUUUUACUUUAUUUUAUUACCUGUCACACUGUCUACUGUCGCGCACCAACCGGCAAGACAAAUUCCUUGUAUGUUUGACAUAUUUUGGUAAUAAAUGUUGAUUCCUGAUUAUAAAUUGAAGACAACACUAUACAUAUAACACUUUUCCUAAUUAAUAACAAUAGAAAAAUAUUUCAGGGAAAUAAACUAUGGAAUUAAAAGUGCAGAAACAACAUGGACAAGUUAGUUUAGAAUUCUGUGUUUGUAGCUGUGGUAGCGGGCGUGGUUAGCUCAGCUGCAGGGGGGAGAGUGGGGGAGUGGUCCAGGGAACGGUGCCGGCAGGUAACGAGCGAGCACAGCUGGACAAUUGAUUAUCUCCCCUGUGAAAAAGCAGUGAGCAGGACCUGGAGCGAGAGAGACUUGGGAGCAGAUGCUCAGGGGCAAGGCCGAGGAGCGCAAAUGCAUGAAACCUGCUCACUGCGAACGUUAAAAAUAAAGAAUAUUGCGCAGUAAACCCGUGCGUCCUUAAACGAACCCCAACGGUGGUAGCUCCAGCCAGCUAGAGUAGCCCUGUCUUCUGAAUCAUUGCAAGGUCAUUUGCAGAUUCUUUAACAAGAUCUGGGUCCAAGCCACUUGAAUUGGGAUAGUGUACCUGAAAUCAGCUGCACCUCACUUGACAAUUCUUUGUGUAAAGGGAGCCAGAGUGCAGAGAACACCCCUCAAUUGCAGAUUCUUUUAGUCAACAUGUUUAUUCCAUUCAUUUUGUUCAGCUUCACAAUCUGUAAACAUGAAACAUACUAUCCCAAAACCCCCAAAAUGUAAAAAAACAACAAAAACUGGGAGAAACCUGAAGGAAAACAGCAGAGAAGUAGGUGUACAGUUUAAGUAACAACUUAAAGAUGUACAGUACAUUCAAUUCCUACGACAGAAAUGAUUCUAAUAUUGUGGAUUAUUAAGCCAGGUGGGAGGCAGAACCACUGUAGGGACAACCUCCAUCAGAUGUAACCUCCAUCCACAACCUGUGAAGAGGAAAAGGCAAAGUUGGGCAGCCAGACACGUCGUCAAAAAGACAAGAAAAUCAGUGCCAGGUGUGGGAUUCUGAGUCUGGCACAAACAGAAUACUUCACCACUUGCCUUGCUGUACAAAGACCUGCAAAAGGUAAAUAUGUAGGAUGGUUGUGUAGGGCUCCUAACUUUGCCCUUUUAAUUUAGACCUCCGGGGGGGACAAUCGCCAGACUGAAGGAAAAAACUUAAAACAGUUCUUAUCAAAAAAGGGUAAGGGAGCAUUGACUUCUGGGCAGGAGGCGCUAUUGGUUUGGCCCGCACCCUCUCACAUACAUGACCAUGAUGGUAGCCAGGUUACUAUACCCACCCGAACAGCACAACAUGUCAGUUCUAUAACAGAUUAAAAGGUACAGCAAUUCAUAGUACAACCAUCCGUACAACAAUUCAAUAACCAAUGAAUGGCACGGCAGUUGAUGGCACAAUAAAUAACAUAGCUAUUGCAAAACCCCCUCGAUACCACAGCAGGUCACGGGAAAAAUCAAAAUGUUUUGACGACAACAACAAGAACAGAGAACCCCCAAAACCCGAAAACUGAGCCAGUCUGCUUCAGCCUGUAGCCGGCCGUCCAGACAAGUGAGUACUCCGCUCGUACCGCCGGACCCGGGUCACGUUGAUCUCACUGACGAUGAGCUCGCUCUGGUUACCAGUGACGGCCAGAACCUUGCAAUAAAAGGUCUGCCAAUAAACAUGCAAACUGGGAUAAAAUCACCGCUGCCCCGGUCCAAAGCCGGCCUCCUUGCGGUGCUCUCAUGUCGGAACCUUUGGGUUUGUGCACUGAGUGGACUUUCCGGGAUAGGUCGUGGUCAACACGAAACGCCCAUUAUGUAGUGUGAUGGCCAGGAUAUAGCCCUGUCCCGUCCACACAUCACUGACCUCUCUGGGGCAUAGCCGGUCCCCUGUGUUGAAAAUGGGCAGCGGCGGUACUGAUCCAUUUACGUUGCAAAAAAGCUUUGUUAUAAAGCUGUAAAGUCCACAGUCUGGUAGCGAGGUUGUUAUUAUGUGUUGUAUGUAAGGGUUCGCCUGAUGCUAGCGUGGAUGGACAGGGACGUUAGCCCGAUGCUAGCGUGGAUCAGUGCUGAGCCUAUGCAGGUCACGUGAAAAAUGAUCUGUAUCCGGCAGAUGAACGAAUCGUUCUCCUCCCGACCGUGUCUACGGGUCAAUGUUUCGUUCACCUGCCAACCGUGCCAUCGGGUCAAUGAUUCGUUCAUCGUUCAUUGUUCACGUGACCUGCAUAGCUCAGCAGUGAGCACUGGUAGCGAGUAGAUCAAUGAUUCGUUCAUCGUUAAUUUUUCUACCCCGAGACUCUGCAAGCGGGAUUGUUGCUUCCAACCACAGCGACAGAAACCCAACCGGGACCGGUUCUGUGGGGAUUCGAUUCAAAGCGACGGAAGGAUCGUUCACGGCACAAGAGGUUCACAAAGCCUCAAGUAGAAACUCUGGAAAACUUUUUGGAUUAACGUCUCCGAUGCUAGUCUGUGUUCGCGUGAGGUGAUGCGGCCCCUGCAGACGUCCAACUAUGGUUUGUAGAUUGUGUGCGGGAUUCGAACGCGACCCGAGCCCGACUGAGUCAAUGUCUCAACUAAUGACACAUUCACGAACGUUUUUUUUUUAUAAAUAGCCUGCCUUUAUUAAACUCAGGCAUCAACAGAUAAAUAUACUCGCUCAAAAAAACAAGCGCUGUUAAACGCACAAACACGUUGAAAAUAAAUUAUAAACAAUGCAAAAACGGAGAAAUAGAAUACACACGACACAAAACUAUGUACAUUGUCCAACCUUCGAGGUUUAAUCCACGUUGUUGUGGACUUCAAUGCCUUAUCGCGCUGAUGUGUCCGAGCCCGACUAUAUUUUCUAAAUAUUUAUCCGAGCCCGACCUGACCCGUCUGGUACCACUUCAUUUUCCACGUGACCUGCAUUCAACCAAUCAUUUCUGCUUCCUUGGCUGAGCCUAUGCAAGUCCCGAUGCGUGGCCACGAGAAAAUGAACGAAUCUUUUUUUGAGAGGACUCGUUACUCUCGAGUCCUUGUAAGGAUUCGUUCAAAAUGAACUAAUCGUUCACGAAUGACACAUCACUAUUGCGGAAACCUCUCUCCGAGGCACCGGUCUGCACCGUGAAAAGUUUCUCAAAGUCUGGGCUGCAGAGUACCGGUUCCUUGCACAAGGAGCCCUUCAAGCUGCCUCACACUCCUCAGUCCAAUCAACCUUGACAUGACAUUUGCGGGUCAGCUCGGCUUUCUCCGAAAAGUUUGGAAUAAAACGUCUGUACCAGCCCUAAAAAGGAACAGUCCUGUGUGGUGGAAGAUUUUGCACAGACAAUCGUUAAGUAAGAAACAAAGGCUCUGAGUCAAGUAUGUAUUUUCUCCGUUUAUUUCCUUGCAAGGGAAAGAGGGUCACAACAGCUACGUGGUCAGUAGACUGUCAAGAACCUCCUUCUGCCCCCAACACAUCGAGGCAGUUCUUAUACCUAAGUUUAGAUAUCGAUGGCGUCAACAGAAACCUUUGACCAUCUUGUUGAGUCUCUACAGCCAGGGUUCUGGGAACAUCUUGUCCAUGUAAGACACGUCAGUUCUUUGACCGUGUCCUUGCUCUCCCAACAUGCUAAAAGAAAGGUGGUCAUAGACAUAACGAACACUUUGUUCCCUCUCUACAGCUGUGACUGCUAGAAACAUGUAAUCCAAGUCGGAGACAUCAGUUCUUAUGUCAGGGCCUUUGUGAUCUAAGCACUUGCAACUAAUAAACUGGUUAUACAAAUGAAGCCUUUAAAAGGGUUACAUAUCAUUUUCCCAUUACACCUGUUUCUUGGUGGUUGGCCUCCACCUUCCCCACUUGCGGGCGGAUGACCCCUCGGCCCAGCACAAAGCCAAAGUAGUACGUCUCUUACUUGGCCAAGGCACAUUUUCUCAGGUGGAUGGUCAGGCCCGCCUCUUUCACCAACGAGAGGACCUGCUGCAGAUGACGCAAAUGUUCUACCCAGCUGGCACUGGCCGAUGUCAUCGGCAGCUGCAAAGCCCUCCGUCCCCGAGGACUCCGUCCAUCAGCCGCUAAAACGUGGCUGGUGCUCAGUGUAACCCAAAUGGAAGUAUGGUGAACUGAAAAUGACCAAACAGCAGUCGGCUCCUUGCUCUCUUUUGACAAGGCACCUGCCAGUAACUUUUGCAAAGGUCAAGGGUGGUCAGGAACUUUGCCUUACCCAAGUCCUCAACCCUGGGCAUGGGGUAAGGAUCAAACUUGGCCUGGGUGUUGACCUUCCUCAAGUCCAGGCAGAACCGUAGGCCACCGUCCUUCUUAGGAACCAGGAUGACUGGGCUGCUCCACUCACUGAAGGAAGGCUCAAUCGCCCCAAGCUGUAACAUCAUGUCCAGCUCCUCCUUCAGGCCAGUAGAAGGCGCUCUGGUAUCCGGUGGGAAGAUUGUCUCACUGGCUGCUAGUCCCUCAGCAAAAUACGGUGCUCCACUAACGCUGUCCGUCCUGGUCGCUCCACAAAGAGGUCUUCAGCCAAGAAAUUGACUGAGCUCCCGCUGUCGACCCUCCGGCCGAUGACUCAGAUCCAACUUGCUCUUCUCGUCCCGGCCAGGCAAGUACUGCUCGCUGUACUCCUCCUCCUCAACGGAACGGCCUCUCACUCUACUUCUUUAGCAUAUUGACGUGGAAAACCUGAUGUUUCCUGCGCCGGUCUGGCAUGUGGACUUCGUAGGUCACCGAAUAGGGUCCUUGCCAUAUUGCCAACAGCUUGUUCUCUGAGCUUGGCAACAACAGCAGGACCUUCUCUCCAGGCUGGAAACAGCGGGUACGGGCGCACCGAUCAUACCAUGCCUUCUGCCGACCUUGCACACACUGAGCCAUAGCAGCUGUGGCUGCAAUCUUCUCCCUCAUCUUCAAGACAUAGGAGAUUAUGUCUGUCUUGCCUGAGAUGUCUUCUUCAAAAUAUCCAGUGGACCUCGAACCUGAUGUUCGUACAGGAGCUCGAAGGGUGAGAAUCCUGUUGAAGCCUGAGAGACCUCUCUGUAUGCGAACAGCAGGUAAGGUAGUCACUGGUCCCAGUCUUUUCCAGUGUCAUCCACAAACUUCCUGAGCAUGUUCACAAGGAACCGCUCCACUAGUCCAUCUGUCUGGAGGUGGUAUGGUGUGGACUCUUUUUAUCCCUAAUAGAUCAUACACUUGUCGGAGGGUUUUGCUCAUGAAGUUGGAGCCCUGAUCUGGUAGGAAUCAAGAAACAUUUAUUGCCAAAUAUGUCAUACAUACAAGGAAUUUGACUUGGCGGUUGGUGCGUGACAGACAGUGUAACAAUAGACAACAAGACAGCAGUGCACAAGUAAUAAAAUAAAAUGCUAAUGCUAUGGGUUAGUAUAAAAUAAGAGAAUAAAGUUCAAAUUAAAAAUAUUUAAAAAAUAAAAGUGCACUAGCGAACAAGUGACGCGUAAGAACAAGUAGAACCUCCCGGGGAAUCCCUACUCUGGAAAACAGGUUGAACAUAGCUGUGGUGACCUCUCUCAUCGGGAAAUCUUCUGGGUAUCUGGUUGCAUAGUCAGACAACUAAAUGACUAUUCCCUGCCUUGCUGCUCUCCAGGGGCCCCACUAUGUCUAUCCAUUGAAAGGGAAUCAACGGGGCAUGGGCAAGGCCUUUGCCUCCCGAUAGCUGGCACUGGGGACAGGACUUACAAAAGCUCUUCACUUCUCCGAACAGCCCUGGACAAUGGAAACGCCUGCCUAUUCUCUGCAGUGUUUUCCUAUGAGCUAUGUGUCCCGCCCAUGGUUUAGUGUGACCUAGCUCCAGCACCUCUCUUCUAAACUUGUGGGGCACCACUAGCCGAAGUCCCUCCUCACUCUGCCUAUAGAGGAGGUUGUUCUGAACAAUGUACCCCUCUUUCCCAAGUGCCGGAACCAAACCAGAACCGUCCUUUGCCUUCUUAAACAAUGGGCUAAGGGUGGGGUCUGCACCCUGUUCUUUAGUAAGAUAAGCCCUAAAAGUUACAUCCACCUCCGACAAACUCGGGGAACCAACGUCCCGACUCUGGCUGCAUAUGAGAAUGUUCCAAAAUCCCUCCAACCCUUUGUCUGCGCUCGUCAUACCUCUCCUCAGUAGCGUAUAUGGGCUGUACCGGGAUAUCCUCUCCAUGGUACGACAAUUCGGCCAGGUCUUCUUGGUGUUGCCCCUAGCUCUAGUGACUACCCCACACCAGGCAGUCUUGCUCACUAGCUCGGGCAAUACUGGGAGAUCCUGACACCAACAACACUGGAUAGGGGAGUUUUGGGACUAGUCCUACCCUAAGCAGGUUUGUCUGACCACACACCCUAACCAACACAUCUGAUGUGCUGUGCUCGCUCUGAUCACCAUGAACACAAAAGACCGUAAGUUUGUCAUUAAAGUUAAAGUUCUUGAACUGAACUACUUCUCUUUCCCGGAAAAGAUUCGCUUACCCAGGACCUGACAGUCAACUUUGGAAACUCCGUACUAACGCCCACUUUGACCGCUAAGAACCUCGGCGUCACACUCGACAGCAAACUCUCCCUGACUCCCAACAUCGCCGCGACAACGCGAUCCUGUAGAUACACGCUCUACAACAUCAGGAGAAUACGUCCCCUUCUCACUCAGAAGGCAGCGCAAGUACUGAUUCAGGCUCUUGUCAUCUCCCGCCUGGACUACUGCAACUCCCUCCUGGCAGGUCUCCCUGCCACCGCCAUUCGACCUCUGCAGCUCAUUCAGAAUGCAGCAGCUCGACUGGUCUUCAACCUUCCGAAAUUCUCCCACACUACUCCACUCCUCCGCUCUCUUCACCGGUGGCCGCCCGCAUCCAGUUCAAAACAUUGGUGCUCACGUACCAUGCUGUGAAUGGAUCGGGUCCAGCUUACAUCCAGGACAUGGUCAAACCCUACAUCCCAACCCGCACUCUCCGCUCUGCAUCUGCAAAACUACUCGUCCCUCCCUCACUGAGAGCAAAACACUCGACUAGGUCUCGACUCUUCGCUGUCCUUGCGCCGAAAUGGUGGAACGAGCUCUCUGAAGACAUCAGGACCGCAGAGAGCCUUCACAUCUUCCGCCGCAAACUAAAGACACACCUCUUCAGACUCUACCUCGACUAAAGACUAACAAAUUGUAGCACUUAAAUUGUACUUGUAACGUCACUCAUCUAUAGCAAAUUGUAAAUUGGCUUAUUUGAGAAAAUUGCACUUUCUUGUUCUCCUGAGUUUGUACCCUAUGGUUAAAUGCACUUAUUGUACGUCGCUUUGGAUAAAAGCGUCAGCUAAAUGACAUGUAAUGUAAUAUAACUCCUGGGGGACUUGGUCAGCCUGCACCAACGUCUGUGAACAGCCCGUGUCUAUGAGAGCGGUGACCCGCUUGCCAUUAAGCUUGAUGGGUAUAACAGGGCCUCUGUUCUGCUUGGUCGUACCAGGUGGGGUGGGAUUGGGAAUAUAACACAGGUGAUUGUAUUUAGCCUUCCAGAGUGGGCAAGAGGGGCUUUUAUGACCUUCCCUACCACAAUUAAAACAUGAUAUGGCUUGAGGCGUUCCACUAUCCGGGGUAAUAGGUUUCUAUUAUAGCUAGGGUAGUUUCAAAAUCCACUCCUCUACCAGGCCCAACAGACUUACCCUGGGCUUGUCUAUCCAGUAUUCCAGCAUAACGGUAGCUCCUGGAGCCUCGGUGUGCUGCCACAAAGUUCUCCACCAGCCUGGCCACUUUAGCUGCCGUUGCUGGGUUGUGUUCUUUGACCCAGGUCCUCACCUCUGGACAGAGGACUCUUAGAUACUGUUCCAGCACCAUAGUCUCCAUGAGGCCCUCCUUGCUGCUCGGGUCGAACUUGACCCACUGGUAGAAGAGAUCCCUCAGGCAGACGUAGAGUUGUGGCGUCUCCUCCCGGCUGGUCUCCAGAUGAUAAGUCUCUGAGUUGAUCUCAUUUUUUUAGCACAGCCUCCCUUAAAAGGUCCUAGUCCAAAGUGCUCUCUGGAUCCAUAGCUACAAAUGCAGUCAGGAGCGGAAUGAGGUGAAUGGCCCAGUCCUCCUUUAGCCAGUCAAAGACUGUUGCAAGCCGUUCGAAGGUGGUUAAAUAGUGCUCAAUGUUGUCAGAGUCUUCCAGCCUGGCCAUCUUUGGUUCGUAGCCUCCAGGCCGUUGGCUGAGGGUUGAUGGAUGAUCAUGUGUAGGCUCCCGUAGGGCUGCUGGAAAAGGUAUGGUCCCCCGUUCCAGAAUUACCGCCGCAUGCAGGUCAGGUACAGUCAUGAUCCUUAGUUGAUGACCACAAAACAGAGCAGAGCUUUGCCUUCCGGCUCAGCUCUUGGUGUGGAAAAGCGAGUGCAAUAGUAACGAAACAAUCAAUCAAAUCACAUUAACUAAAGCAAUUACGCAUAUUUAAAAUACAUCCAAUACAAACUGUGGUAGAUUACAGGGAGACCUUUUACCCCUCUGUUUUGUUCUCAGAAACCUUUUCCCUAAUCCCUGUUUUGUUCAAAUCCCUGCCAUUUUUUUAUUUCAUUUAAUUUACGAGAAGUAAUCUUUAUUAAAAUCUGCCUGAUAAGAAAACAUAGCAUAACACGCAACCAACGUCUACAUCUAUUCAAAUUUAUUCACGUUUUUUUUUCCCACGGGUACAAAUAAAACCAUUAUACCAUUCCCAUUUCCCCAAAUCCCCCUGCAACGGAACAAGAAAACUUGACCUUCAGCAGUGAUGGAGUACAUAACCUGGUGACUUGUGGGUAAUCCAGUUUUUAAUAGACUGGCUUGAACUUUCAGAAAGCGGGAAGCCAGGGAGAAAAACAAGUAAGGGAUAUUUCGAGGAAGAAAUAGAAACAAAAAGCUAGAUAAGAAUGUUUGGCUGUUAUUGUUUUCUGUGUCUAACAUCUUGAUACACGGCCUGUGGUAUUUAGGAGAAUUAAUGCAGAGGAGUGAGGGGAAUCUAUAAAGCCUACUCUACUUCUACACCCUAGGGGAAGCCAUCUUUAAUUCAUGAACACUAUAAAAAUAAAGGUUUUCUGUGACGGCCAAGCAGCCUGUAACAAACUCUCACAGCAGCAUGGCACCGGGCAGAUGUUGAUGACAUGGUUACAGAUGGAUAUGGGGUCCUGAGACCUAUAUACUUUAUUAUGUAGUUUACGAAAAAAGAAAAGAAAAUACCAAUACAAUGUUGAUUCGGUCUCUCUGCAAACAGAAGCUGAAUGAACCAAAAGGGCCAUGAUGCAUUCGCUUUCACGAUGUGCCCUAUUAGGAGGUUAUGCACUUUACUUUUGAAAUAUUUAAAUCUGAAACUAGUCUGUCCAGAUUAUGUAUCAUGUAUGUAUGUUAUGGUACAUGGUGUAUAUGUUAUAACAGCAUAAUUUAUAUUUUAAGGGAUGUAGACUUGAGGAUAAAUAAUGCAUAUGAAAUAAAAUGUCCGGUGUAACAGCAGCUCUGUUUGACCUUUACAGCUUUCAAUCAUUAUUUUCUAUUAGGCUUUAAAGAGCUGGAGAACAGCAGGGGUGAGUCAGAAAAGACUCAACUUUGUGUCCUAAUCCAAACGGAUUGAUAGGUGCGUCUGCCUUCUUUUACUACUCUACAGUAGAUUCACCUUUUUUCAGGGUUCAUACACAUUUUGACCAAUGUAUUUCCAUGACUUCAAACAAAAUUUCCAUGACUUUAUUGGAAUUUUGGGAAUAUUGAUCAUUUCAUUUAAGCUCAUUGUGCAGGAACUAAUGAUAUGUAAGAUAUAUUGAAAGCAUUUAUGUUAGCUUGACGCUCCUUGUGUGUCUCGGAUCGCGGGGCCAAUAGCCCUAGCAGGUGACCCCAAAUUUCAUUACAUUACAUGUCAUUUAGCAGACGCUUUUAUCCAAAGCCCUCCUCAGGAGCUCCCUCUAGAAGGCUGUGGAUGCUUGUUCCAGUCUGGGGAAAACACAAGUAUAUCAAAUAGGGCUGGUAAGGGCUGAUAUCAAAUAAUGUUUUUUUCUAUAUCAUAGCACACAAAUGUCUGUCUAAAUUCACGAUAUAAAACAAAAUAUAUAAAUCAAGUAAUGUUUUACACAAAAUCAGAAUAUAUGUGGGAAUCCAAAUGCUGAACAUUUAAUACUGUAGCAUACAUCCAGUUACCAUGUAGUCCAGUAUAACAACAACAGGGUUAUCAAACAUGACUUUCCAUACCUAAGCAUAUUUUGAAAAAGUCUGACAUAGCCCUUUAGUCAAUGUAAAAGAUGGAUAACCAUGUGUUGAUACUUGAGAUGGGAUUCAAAGACCAAAGCUGCUUUUCUUUUUAUGUCCAAGAUGUACAAAAAGGGCCGAUUUCACACUGCACUUGGCCCAUCCUUUAGCCCUCCCGGACGUAGGAGGCAAAUAGUGUGUGAGCAUCUGAAGGGCUCUGAAGCAAAGUAACUCUGCAAGGAAGCAGAACAAAAAAACAAAUGGGAUAUACUGUAUACAAUUACUGAUGCAAUCUCCGACACUAAGUUGUCCACCAAAUUAUCACAAUAGAAAAAGCUGAGCCACAUAGUUGUUCUGAGGGAAUCAGACAUUUAAAUGACACUUAAAUACGACUGAUUUUAUUUAAUAUAGUAAGGUUAUGAAGAAGCCCUCGGAUUUCCCUCAGACACUGUUGUUAUAAUAAAAUAUGGCAUAGUCCCUAGUGACCACAAAAUAAAAAUAACAUAUUGACUGUAUCCAAUAUGCAUAGAACAUAACUUACCAUCACUCUCCUCACCAGCUGGCAUGGGGGUCAUUUUCAAGCGUUGCCACUUUCAGUAGUUGAAACAAUAUGUCCUUCCCAUUUCCGAAGGAAGAGGUAUUGCUUCCCAGGAAACAUUUUUCCAAUCUUUGCAUCUAACUGAAAAGUAGCAGAUAAUACAGCAAUGAUGUAAAAACGAUAUUUUUUUAAAAGACAAUAAAAAUAUAUUAGUCAACAUUAUCAAUCAUCUCCCAAAAUCCAAAAACUAGUGCUGAAGGUAAAAUUUUUCAUGAAGUAUUAAGUCUUGAAUGCUCCACAGACAAUGUGCAGUUAAACAAAAAGGGAAAUUUGUUUAAUAAAAGAUGACUCCACAACUCCUUUCAGACAAUAUACUUGCUACCCAAUACCAAUUUACUUAUCAUUGGGUAUUAUUACAAUAUAAAUGGAAACAGCUGUACACUAGUACCACACCUAUACAUUACGUCUCUAUACAAUAAAAAUAAUGACAGUACUAACUAUAAAUCUCUUAAGCCUCUCCAGUUGAUUCAGAAUGCUGCAGCACGUGUAUUAACAAGAACUAAGAAAAGGGAUCAUAUCACUCCUGUAUUAACUUCUCUGCACUGGCUCCCUGUUAAAUCAAGAAUAGAUUUUAAGGUACUUCUCCUCACCUACAAGGCACUUGCUGGUGAGGCACCGUUGUAUCUUCAAGAGCUUGUAACACCGUAUUGCCCUACAAGGCAACUGCGCUCCAUAGAUGCUGGGUUACUUGUUGUUCCUAGGGUUUUAAAAAGUAGGCUGGGGGCCAGAGCCUUCAGUUAUCAAGCUCCUCUUUUGUGGAACCAGGUUCCACUUUCAGUCCGGGGGGCAGAUUCGGUCAGCUCUUUUAAAGUAAAACUUAAAACGUUCCUCUUUGAUUCUGCCUAUAGUUAGGGCUGGCUCAGGUUAGUCCGGACCAGCCCUUAGUUAAGCUGCUAUAGGCUUAGAAUGCCGGGGGAAUUCUUAGGACACACCAAGCUCCUCUCUCACACUCUCGUUCUACCAUAAUUCAAGUUUUAUUAAUGCACAUGACUAAUUCAGCUUCUUUCCGGGAGUUUUUUGUGUGCUUUCUCUCCUAUCAGGUCUCCGUAGAUCGUGGUUCCUUCGGGACCCUGGUCCUGACACCUACCGUGGCCAUGCUGACGCCUGCUGCUGCCAUCAUCAUCAUAAUUAUUUUAGAUAUUAAUCAUAUUACUUUACUCAUAAACCGACAUUACCCUCUCCUAAAAUCUCUGUGCUCUCCCUCCCCACAGGAUUCUGUGGAUGGUGGUUCUAUCUGAUGGUGGUUGCCCCUGCAGUGGUCCUGCUGUGCGCCUGGCUUACUACUCACAAUUACUUGAAUCAUUUCUGUCAUAGGAAUUGCAUGAUUAUACAUUGUUCAUUCUGUACACAUGGCAUCCAUUGUAGUCUGUCCAUCCCGGGAGUGGGAUCCCUCCUCUGACGUUCUCCCUAAGGUUUCUUCCCUUUUUUCCCUCUUGUAAGGGUUUUUUUCAUUUUUUGGGGAGUUUUUCCUGUGCCGAUGGAGGGUUUCGGGGCAGAGGAUGUUGUAUGUGUAGACUGUAAAGCCCUCUGAGGCAAAUUUGUGAUUUUGGGCUAUACAAAAUAAAAUGACUUGAAAUGACUUAACCGUAGUCGGCCGUGGAUUAAAUAUGAAUAAAAUGCCCUCUGGCUUCAAUUGGGAAACUGCGACAGAAAUAGUAUUUAUUAACAAAUGGGACAUAGCAGUGUUUCCCCUACCAUUAUAAUCGGUGGGCGCUCUCCCUCCUGAAAAAGUUUGAAAUACCCCUCCCCCACCGUCGGCAAAACUGCAAAUAUUAAUUUUCCCGCCUUUAGCACUUGACUGACAACGUUAAUCCUUUUGAAAACAUAACACAUAACACUAACCCGCAUUACAGUGUGUGUAUAUAUAUAUAUAUACAGCGGUCUAAGUCAACCUUUUGAGUAACUGAAUAUGUGUCAGCGACAUUAUUGAACUAUUAAUGGGUUAGCAUUAGCAUUAGUAGCACUUAACAUUACCUCAUAUCGAAUUUACUUUAAAGUUAAAGAAUCAGCUGGCGGGGCGACUUUGACCGACUUUGUUGGCUAACACUAGCUAACGUUGACUAGCAUUAGCUAAAGCACUGCAUCUUUCUUUAGGUAAGUUAAUUCUACAUGCUUCAUCUGUAAAUUCUUUAAAACAUUGACUUCCCUGUGACAUUUGGAGUAUUCCAGCAUUUCACUUCUCUAAUGUGAUGUCAUGUAUCUCAUCUUUUAUAGUUUGCUCUGUCAUUUGUUCAGUGGGAUGCGUGCUAAUUAACCUGUUCUCCUUUAUAGGAUUAUGCAUGCAGAGGUGUACGAAAUGUGGUUUGGACCUGAGGUUGAUAUUCAUUUACAUUGUCAAUAAUGGAAAUAGACAAUGCACUUCAUCAUUUUUGUACGGAGCUUUGUCCUGGGAGGUUUUAAAAGAUGUGCUGAGGCAGAUCGGAGAGUACGUGUUGAGGUCUGUGGGGUGAGGAGUUCCUUGAGGUAGGGGGGGGCUUCACCAUGGAUGCACUGGUGGGUAAGGAGGGAGACCUCGUACUCAACCCUGAGUGAGACAGGAAGCCAGUGGAGUGAUUUGAGGAUGGGGGUGAUGUGCUCAUGUUUGCACACCCUCAACAGGAUCCUAGCGGCGCUGUUCUGUAUAUACUGCAAUUUCUGGAGGCUUUUCUCAGUGACCAACGAAGCUGAGAAAACAUCCAAGGCUAGCUAGCGCCCAGCGACAGAACCUAAAUAAUAUCUGUCUAGUCCAAGACGUGAGAUAUGCUCCGAGUAAGAAGAGGUGUUUGAAUGACGUGGUGUCGUCCGCAUGAGAUGUUUAAGGUGGGUGGUACUACCUGAGGCGUACGGACACGCUUCGCCAGCCAAUCAGAUUAAUGCUUCUGAGGUGUGCAGCGGGGCGUGAAUCACAUAGUGAGAUAUCGAACAAAGUAUUAUAUAGGAACUGUAAUUGAAAGUAGAGGACUUGCCUGUGUACAAUCUACUAAAGAACUAAAGUAAAUUAAAGCUGCGAGCAGCGUUGGACGGGUCCUCGCAACUCCGCGCGUCGGGGCACUGGCCGGAUGGCUAGAUACACAGCCAAGAACCCCUGCGACCGUCGGACAAAGCGUCCGAGAGUCAGUCGUCGUUAACCGCGUGGAGCGACCCUGGAUGUCAUAGAUUACCAAACCUUCUCUUAAAUCUCAUUCACCAGCCGUAUAAUCAAUUUCAGAUGCUAUUUAAAAAAGGAAACGAUCAAUAGCUACAUGAUAAUUCCACUUCAGGUUUAUAGUGCACAUCCCCAAGGUGUCACUCAGGGAUAACCAGGACAUUCUAAUGUACCGUUCCAAAAUGAAAGCCUCUCAAAAUACCAUACAUGAGCCAAUUUCUUUUUCAAAUUCUCCAUCACGGACAUCUGGUCAAUUUCGGAUUAGAUUUAAAAGGGAAAAAUCAAUACAACACAAUACACAAUAUUUCCACUUCAGGCGGAGAGUACACAUCCCCAAGGAGUCACUCAGUGAUAACCAGGACAUUCCGAUGUACCAUUUUACACUGAUUACUAGAAAAUUUUACUUUGUUACCAUAAGGUGGCGCUAUGACUUGAUUCAACUAUACGUCUCUUCAGGCCCAGAGUCUCAACAAACAUGUGUGAAUUGGAAUGAAUCCAAUGAUGUGGAGUAGAGUUACAACAGUUUAGUUGUUCUUAGCGAAGGAUAAACUUUGCCGAUGCACCCUCUCGCCACUGAUAAUCGGAUUCUUAUAAUAUUCACAGUGAAUCAUUAUCAAGGUCUUACCUCUCUGCUACUAAUUUUGAGAGGGAUCAGAUAAACCUGUGAGGAGCAGGGUGUAAAAUUAAAAAAACAUACAACUUCCUGUUUUCCCCAGGUGGCGCUAUGACUAAGGUUAAAAAUGAUCAUAUGGAUGUUUACAGUGUGAGAAGUUCAUGCUUUAUGAGAAACAUGGAGCAGAUUAGAUAAAGUAUGGUUCAGUUAAAACGACUUCAAUUUUUAUGCUGAAUGGUGGUUUUUCAAAAGUGCUCCCUACACACAGUUUGGAAUUUCUUGCGGCAAAAUGCAAUUCUUAGAAUCUUGGUCCUCAAGACCACACUGCGCAUUUGAAAAGAAUCGGGCACAUGAAUUUCACACAGAAAACAGAAAAGAAGAAAAGGACAUGGUGCUGCAAAGUCUGUAAAUGAGAUAUACUAUGUUGUGCAUAAUAAUCAAAAGCUGACAACACACACACUUUUUGUUCGGUUUUCUGUUGAAGCAUAAGCAGCAUUACACUAAUAAUACACCACAAUACCUACCUUUCAUUUCAACAAUUGUAUAUUCAACAAAACUAGUGUCUGUCUAAUUUGUAAAACCGUAAAACUGCCUUUAAAUAUUCUGCCUGUCUAUCUGUGUGUCUCUCUCUCUCUCUUCAUUAAACAUGACAAACGUCAGUAAACAGCUGGAUAUGCCUUUGAAACCACGGAUUUCGUGACUUUUUAGGACCAGUUGUAACGUAAUGUUUUCAGCUGUGCUAAUGUUGUGGUUAAUUUAUCACUAAACAACGUCAGGGUUUGCACACAAACCGUCAUCACCUGUGUGUCCGAUGCUGCAGCCGUUUGGCGCUCAGCACUUCACAUGUACCUACCCCCCCCACCGGUUAAGCACUUAGAACGUGCCACGCUAUUGUCACCGGCCAUCAAGGCAAACCGUUUGAUGUAUGCCCGCAUCAAAAUGACAGGCAGCAAAGACAUCCGUUCUGAUGGCAAAUGACACACAUAUACAGCCACGCUGCCCGACAACCGCCUCCAGUACCAGCCCUCAUCAACACUGCUGAUUUGUUGUCGUGGCAGCUCUCAGCCGCGUUCGAGGCUGAUUGAACGUGUAACCUUUUAGUUGAUGUCUGACUGUCACAUCUCAGCAACAAACAGAACCAAUCCCAUCAACUCACUCAACAUGACAUUUGUUUGUCUUGUCAUCUCUUAGCACAGCAGUGUAAGACAUGAUGGAUGUUAUAUAAGUAGUAAAAUGGGAUUUUAUGUUUUCAUUAAAGAGGCAUGAACACGAAAAGGAAACUUAUGGAGUGGGGAAUUGAACUGAAAACAGACUCCCUACAAACUACUAAAUCAAUCCCCAGACGCACACUGCUCGUCUGAAGCAUUGCGUCAGGGAUGCAGGACUCAAACGCAGAGUUCGCAGGAAACAAAAAGAACUUUAAUAGUCAAACUCCAACAAAGGAACAGGCCAACAGGCAAAAACACACAAGUACCGGGGGGAAAAAAGGCAGGCAGGAACGAGGAAAAUCCAGACGGUAGACAGGGACAAGUAACAUCCAGGACGACAAACAAUGACUCGACAAGUGACAGGAGACACACACUGCUUAAAUACACUAGGGAGGUGCAGGUGAUUGGACACAGGUGGAAACAAUCAGACAAUCACAGACGAUGACAGGAUAAGUCAGGAAGUGAAGUUACCCAGGGAGACAAGAAGCAGAAAACUACAAAAUAAGACAGGAAUUAAAACCACACCGUGACACAUUGAGUGUGCCGACCAGUGUUAUAAAAAGACUUUGCUCAGAUUCAAAACAUGACUUUGAAGGGACUCUAUUUAAGUUCCCCUCAUUUUCUGUUCCUCUCUUUAGAAACCUGCAUGCUUUGGGCUUUGGGAAACAUAAUUAGUGUUAAGUAAACAAAUUUAAAAAUUAUUAUCAAAAAAUUCACUUUGCACACGUUUUCAAGAAGGGGGCGGGGGAAACAGACUUGGCUGAGUGCAGAAGAGGUAGACAGAUGGGGCUGAGUUUUGAUGGGUCAAAGACGUCCAAAAACUGGUUAAAAACCUUUUAGAUGGUUAAAUCUCAUUUUCAUUUGAUUGUUAACGAAUUACUUGUGUGUUUAUUCAUCAUGCCCUUGGCUCUGGGUUUUUUCUAUUUUUACUUCCCUCAAUCCCUAAUCGGGGAAAGUAACAAUUUAACUAUGUGGCAUUGGUUAAGGGAAUACGUUACCUUACUGAAGUAAGGUACAUUUUAGUUAAUGCCGGGACACAACAAGGCCAACUCCUAGGAGAAAGCUCAUAAAGCAAUACGUUUUUGAUUAUUGAUUAUUGAAGAUAAAGUACUGCUUCAAGUACCUUAUUGCUUAUAUAAUACGGUUAUCAGCAAAAUUAUAAUUAGUAAGUAAAUAGCUGCCUUUCAGCACAUAAUAGUGUCUAGUCUAGAGAAAAAAAUAGUCCCCGUACGUGCACGUAAACAGCAUUGGGUCCCGCACCAUCUCAUUCAGUCACAUCGCUCAUGACGUCCACCUUGAUUGUCUGGUUGCAAAAGCUCGCAUUGCCCAAAACAACAAAUCAUUUGUGGUGUUUCCGGGUGUUUUUUUUUGGUGAUUGCCACCGAGCUAAAAGCUAUAAUGUCAACUAAUGGUUGUCCAAAACCUAACCUGUUCCUGUGAGUCUGCAGUGAUAGGGAACGCUGGGGUAAAUGUGAAUAUUGCCCAAUAAUGUAGCCCUCGUGACUCACUCUCAACCAAUCAGAACGCUGGAUUUCAUCUACCUGUAUUAUAAUAUACUAUAUAGUUUGGGCGGUCCUAAUGGACUUAUUAAACCCUUUUCUAUUGCUUCAUCGGUGUCUGCAUCGAUAUUCAUAAACGUAUGCAUUUUGAAUGUAAAACAUGAAACGUGUUUUUGGUACCUGACGAUAUCUGCAUAGUUAAGAACAAUAAGAUGGAUAGACCACGACAAAAAUGUUAAACGCCAUGGGUUAAAAAUGCUAUGUGAGUCAGCUACAUGACCUGUAAUGUAAUUUACUAAUUCUAAUCUAAAGCAUUUUAAAGAAAAGUUAAGUUAAGAUGAAUAAGAAAUAUAAGAAAAAGAUAUAAAGUAGAAAUAUCCAAGAGAAAAUAAAAAAAAUCAUCUGUUUAUGUCUGUUCACACAGGCUAGCUAAAGACAUGACCGAUUUUCUGUAGGCCGUAAUGUCUGCGCCAGCCCCCCAGACCCAAAAUGAAUUUGACACCCCUGAUUUAGAGCCACACAAAAUAUCGCAGUGUCUUCCUUUUUGGUGUUAUGGAUAUGGUCACCCUAGCGGACGUGGUGCCUGCUCCACCUCUCCUCGCCCAAAUUUAUGCACCUGCCUACUUUUGUUUAAGUAAUUAUUGCACACUUUCUGUAAAUCCUAUAAACUUCAUUUCACUUCUUAAAUAUUACUGUGUUUGUCUGCUAUAUGAUAUAAAUAAUUGAAAUUGCUGUUCCGAACAACCAAUGAUACAUAAAGGAAAAUCUUGAAAAUGAUCAGGGGUGCCCAAACUUUUUCAUACCACUGUAUCUGGCUCUAACUAUUGGUUAUAAGCAGGAGGACGAAUACACAAGUACGUAUUUCAGCGUUCGGCGUAAAUGGCGUCCCCGAGCAGUAAAAACGCUGAGUCUUUAUACACAUGUGAAGGCCAGUGCCGGGUACGAGAAGCUGCAAACCAGGUUGAGAUCAUCCUAAGUGGCCGGUGCUGUCACGGUGUGGUUCACGUCCUGUCUUAUUUUGUAGUUUUCUGGCACUCGUGUCCCCGGGUAACUUCACUUCCUGCCUUGUCCUGUCAUCCCCUGUGAUUGUGUGAUUGUUUCCACUGUGUCGAAUCACCUUCACCUCCCUAGUGUAUUUAAGCAGUGUGUUUCUUGUGUCACUUGUGGCGUCAUUGUCCUGGAUGUCUCUCGUUCCUGCCUGCCUUUUUUCCCCCCUGGUACCUGUAUGCGUUUUUGGCCAUUUUGUGUUGGAGUUUAUUAAAGUCUUUUUGCUUUAAACUCUGCAUUUGAGUCCUGCCUCCCACGCACCCCUGACAGGUGCAAAUCAUAAAUAAUUGACACAAAGUAGAAAUGUGGAUCCGAGAACUUUCGUACCAAAUAAGAUAUGAACCAAGGCCAUGAACAGAAGUCCUUUUGUAUUGAAGCGUCUAUGAGAUCGAGUUGACCGCCCUCCCUUCUCAGGACACUGCUGCAAACUAACAUUUUGCAUCAUGCUGCUCCUUGCACAUCAGGAUCAAAUAAAGACACUUGAGGCAUGGGUUUAGCAAAAGACAAAUGUUACAACAUAUUUCACCACUACAUGCAUCUAUACCUUCUAAUAUUUUUUUUUUUUAAAUAUGUCAACAGAUUUGCAUUGGACCCUAAAACUUGAGCCAGACGUUGUCUCUCUCUCAGGCCAAAAGUAUGUGUUUCCAUAGCCACAUGACUACAAGCAGCACAAGGACACCCAUCAUUUUGAUCACAACACUAAAAUGAAGCCUGAAGAGUGAAUAUUGUGGCAAUAAGGGCAGAAGUGCAAGUUUGAUUUUCUCACAUUCAUAUUUCCACAUUCAAGAUCCACCCUCAGGCUCCACCAGCAUGUAGCCUAUUGCAUCAAGUGUGUAUUAUUUGGUACAAUGUUGUGUGCAUUCUGACCUCAUGAUCAUUUAGGCCCAAAUGAGUGAAAUUGUGUGUUAUUUUGCAUGUAUAUAUUUCUGCUGGACUAUUCAGUAACUUAUUUGCGGUCUUGCUUUGUCUUGUGUUGCACUUGCCAGAUGUCUGGUCACCCGAGCUCAGCUAGGCUUAGGCUACUCGGGUUGGGCUACAUAUGGGUGAGCAGUCUGCUACAUGAGGGCACGUCCCCCCUGAUAACUUGCAUGUGUGAGAGCUGCGCAGCCCUGCAGUCAAUGCGUGCAGGCGGCCUGACAGGGAGCGGAACAGUGAGUGCGCUCUGAGUACCGGUACUAAAAAAAUUCAAAACCGUAUUGUUUUCAACGUAAGGGUACCGCGGUACCUUUCUGAUACUGGUACACGGUGCAACACUAGUCUGUAGCUGAAGGAUUGGCGGAGCAGAAAAAUGUGAACGUUCCAAAAACAAAGGACGCUCCAAAAUGAGGAAAACAGAGCUACUAUCAAAAACUAACUGAGGCCCGACACGGGAACUAAAAAGAGCUCUAAAGAAAAAUCCCUCACACGAGGUAAAACGGUACACACGAGACAAGACAAACUAUGGCUAUGGACACUGCUGGUAUGACGACAUAGAUUGACACACUGGCACAAGACAACGGGAGAUGCAGGCUAUCAGAACACGUGGGGAGGAAAAUGGAACAGGUGGACACAAUCAGGAAUCAGGGGGGGACAAGGAACCUAUUAUUAUUAUUAUUAUUAUUAUUAUUAACUUCAAAAUAAAACAGGAAGUCACGAAAACCGACUGGGGACAGGACAAAGACGCAACUAGACAUUCAAGUGUGACACCCUCUCCUGAACAAGCUGAAUAUUUAGUGCAGUGCGUUACCACGGUAACAGCGCACCUGCGAUCAUUAACGUGCUGAGGCAGCAUUCCAACAAUUAAAGAGCCUAAAAUAAAUUUGUAAUUUUAACAAAAUUAAAUUGAGGUUGUUCAAAGAUGUAUGCAAGUCUAAACCUUACUGUUGAGUUAAUGCUCUUCUCCUUCGGGAUUUGAAUCCAUGCCCAAGAAGAUGUGCACUUAGAUCACACAUGUACAAACAAGCUUACUGCAAGUAAAGUAAAGUUAAUUCAGGAACGCAAAAGUGAGUGGCUGAGUGCACAUUUUACAGACACACACACACACUCACUCACUCAGUUGCUUCCUUUAGGUAUAGCGCUCCAAUACUUAAAACCCAUGUUUGAAUUAUUUAGCCAAAACAUAAUAUAAUGCCAUUCUCUAAUGUUGUCAAGUAAACACCGUUGUAUGAACACACAGCAAAACAGGCAGAAACUCCUAUUCUGCAAAAAAACCAGUGUACUUCUACUCUGAUUUUUAUUCUCUUCAUUCUCUUUUUUUCUGCUUUCCCUUGAUACACUGCUCUCUCCUGACAGGUUCUUCCACCUCUCCUUGUUAUAGAUAGUUACUGUAUCCCGUGACUUUCUCAAGCGUGCGGAAGAUGCAGAGGAUAAAAAAUGGAUUGGCAUUACCAUCUAAUCAAUAGCUUGACAUGAAAAUGUGAUGCGGCUGCUCCCGGGGAGCUGUUGAUGGAGAGGAGAUAGAUGUUAGAGUGGGAAGGGAUACGCUUCGGAGACUCAAAGAUAAGGGGCAACACACACACAGACACACGGCUAUAAGCCGUAUAGGGAGAGUCUGUGUGGGUGCUGUCAUUUCAAAUAUAGAAUUUCUAUUCUGAGUCAAAAAGGCGAGUUAUCAGGCUGGGAUGAUUGGCAGGCAGGAGGGAGGUGAGGUUUUCAUUCUGUUUGCUGGGGAAUAAAGCUGAAUGUGUCAUUCCUAUGAGACCUGAUCUGUGUGAGUGACUGUGUGUGUCCUCUUACUGCCUCCAUUGUUGUCAAAUCCGAUCACAGCCCUUCCAACAGACUGAAAGCUGAAGUUGGCAGAGCCAACUGUUUAAUAAAUUAUCCCUUAUAUACUGAUGGUUUUGGACGCCUUCUUGGGGAGUUUUAAGGAUUUUCAGGUUUCCCUGACAUAUGCGAGAAUGGUCAAUUUUAACAACCUAUAGUUGUGUCUGCAGUCAUCCUAUAUUAACAAAGGAGAGAAAAAGAAUGUAUUUAUAUUAUCCAUGGAUGAAAUCAUGAUAUGCACAUAAUAUAUGUCUUGUAGAGGGUAAGUGGAAUAACAGGAGUUAAGGCAAGUUUAGAGGGGGCAAAGAAAGUCAGGGAGGACUCUUGACAAUGUCCACAUGACAUAACGGUUUUCUGACACGGACAGUUUUUAGCAAACCAUCCAGUAAAACUAUUGAUAAAAAUGAUUGUGUAAGGUUUUCAGGUGAUUUAACAGUGUUAAAGUAAGCGUUAGCUCCUUAACCUUUCGAGCCAAAUACUGUUUUAAUUAUGAAAGCUCAUAUUUUCUUAACCAGAGGCGGUAAAAGGAUUUGGGAAAUUUGACAGAUUCUUUUACAUGUAUAAGUUAAUAUUACUAACUCUUUUAAAGCCAUCGACAAAAAACAAAACAGAAAUACCGUCAAAUUACGAGUGUCCGGGUGAUGGCACAGGUCUACUACUUUCACCCAAAUGGAUUUUUUCUCUUUACCCUCUUCCACCAUCCAGCCCACUGUCUUUAAUUCCAUGCUGUAACAGUUACUCACCCGGUACAAUUAACUAUCAUGGUCCUUUACCGUCCACCAGGCUCAUUGGGUCAUUUCUUGGAAGAACUGCACAUUAUCCUGUCCAAUUUCCCUGAAAAUGUCCCUCCACUCAUCCUCCUGGGUGACUUCAACAUCCAGACAGAGAAGUCAUCUGACCUCUAACACCUACUUUCUUCCUUCGCUCUGUCACUCAGUCCCUCUCAUCCUACUCACAAAGCCGGCAAUCACCUUGACUACAUCUUCACUAGAAACUGCUCUACCACUAACCUCUCUGUAACUCCACUUCAUGUCUCUGACCACUUCUUCAUCUCUUACUCCCUUCCACUCUCUAUAACUAACGACCCCAUCAACUGACUCUGUACAUGUUUGUCGCAACAUUCGCUCCCUCUCUCCCUCCUCCCUGGCCUCCUCUGUUCUAUCAGCUCUCCCUUCUACUGACUUCUUCUCACUCUUGCAUCUGAACGCUGCUGCUGAGACUCUCCUCUCAACUCUUUCCUCCUCUCUAGACUCUCUAUGCCCUCUUAUGACCCGACGGACUGGCAAAUCCCCUCCGGCUCCGUGGCUGUCUCAACCGGUGUGUGCCAUGAGAGCCACCAUGCGAGCAUCGGAAAGGAGAUGGCGUAAAUAUAAACGACCUGAUGACCUGCUUGAAUUUCAAUCUCUUCUCUCCUCUUUUUCUGCUUCUAUCUCUGCUGCCAAAAGUUCUUUCCACCAAUCCAGAAUUGAAUCUUCAUUUUCUAACCCCAAAAAACUCUUUUCGAUCUUCUCCAAUCUCCUCGAACCCCCUAGUCCUCCUCCACCCUCCUUCCGGGAGACUACUUUACCAAGCAAAUACCUGACAUACGCUCCUCUUUCUCAAACCCACCUCCUACUACUUGCGUCCCACUGACUUCACCUCUAUCGCCCUCACUUUCCUCUUUCACCCCCGUCUCCUAAUCAAAUUCUUACCCUAGUAACCUCUGCCCGUCCGACUACCUGCCCUCUUGACCCCAUUCCAUCACAUAUUCUACAAUCUAUUGCUCCUGACCUUCUUCCUUUCCUCACCUGUCUCAUCAACAAUGCUCUGUUAUCUGGCUGGCUGGCACAAAACAGGAGAAAAAGCAGUAACCGAAAUGGCAGAGAACCCUUACACACUUCCUCCCACACAAUGGUGGUCGGUACGCAGACUCUAAACACUCUGCUAGUUGUCAGCACGAAGAGAAAAGCGAGACCACUUAACACUGGGUCCAAUUCAGGCUCUUGGCAGGUCUCCCUGCUACCGCCAUUCGACCUCUGCAGCUCAUCCAGAAUGCAGCAGCUCGACUGGUCUUUAACCUUCCCAAGUUCUCCCACACUACUCCACUCCUCCGCUUUCUUCACUGGUUACCGUCAGCUGCCCGCAUCCAGUUCUAAACAUUGGUGCUCACGUACCAUGCUGUGAAUGGAUGGGGUCCAGCUUACAUCCAGGACAUCAGUAAGGCCGAGAUCCUCCUUGUGGCAGUGGCAAGUGGGUGGCAUCAAACUUGAGAGCCCCACCCCCUACACGGAACCCGCCGGUCCAAACCUAAAAUUAGCCUCUGAAAUAAGAAGACGGGGGCUCACGUGUCUCAAAUAAAAUUAAAUAAAAUUAAAUAUUUACAGCAGCUGACCUGUCGUACAAAUAACAUUUGUUUCUGGGAAAAAUUGGCUCCUCCCACCCAGCGUGCCGUCGUGACGCCGACUGAUUUACUGGCGAUUGCCGCUGCCUGCCACAAAGUUGCCACCCACUUGCCACUGCCACAAGGAGGAUCUCGCUGUCACUCCAGGACCUGGUCAAACCCGACAUUCCGACCCACACUCUCCGCUCUGCAUCUGAUAAACUGCUUGUUCCUCCUCACUGAGAGCAAAACACUAGAUCACCACUCUUUGCUGUCCUGCUCCUAAAUGGUGGAAGGAGGUUUCUGAAGACAUCAGGACCACAGAGAGCCUUCACAUCUUCCGCAGCAAACUAAAGACACACCUCUUCAGACUCUACCUCCACUAACACACUAACAAAUUGUAGCACUUAAAUCUAUAUCAAUAAUAAUAUAUAGCAAAUUGUAAAUUGGCUUAUUUGAGGAAAUUGCACUUUCUUGUUUC